rnacentral:lncRNA from 1 species
UCUCUCUUUUCUCUAGUUCUAACAUAGUUUCUCUCUAGCUUUUCAUAGCUAGUUCAUAGUUCUUUGAUUUUGUGUAAGAGAGAGGUGUGUAGCCACUUGGGUUUCACCAAAACCGAAGUUUCUACACACUUUGAUCAAUCACUUCUCUUGUUUCUCACACAUUCAAGCCUUGUUCUUACUUUGUUCUUGAGAUUUUGUGGAUUUGUAUAGUGAUUUGGGUUCUAGAAACCGAAAUCCCUAUACUUUGAAGCAUUUCUCUUCUCAUAUAGCAUCUAGGAGACAAGGGAGCCAUCUUGUGCUUUUGGUUUGGCUCCAAAAAGAGUCAAACCCGUGGGUAUAUCACUUGUUCUCCACUCUUUGCUCUCUUUUAUUUGUUAUUUAUGAUGUUCAUGGCUUGUAGUUGUGUAAAUAUGAGUUGUGAGUAGUUUAAUUUGGGGCUAGGGCAUAGCCUUAGCCAAACUUGUGCACAAAACAAUGUAAUCUUUAUGCUCUUUGAUGUUUAUGCAUGUUUUGAAUCUUUUGGCUACUAUACUUUAAUGUGUCCUAAGUGUGUUCAUAGAUUUAUCACCUAGAAGCAUGCUUUAGGAAGUUAAUGAAUCGGAAACAUGAACUUGAUAAACUCUUGAUUCCGUGAGCUUAUGUAGCUAAAUAGGUGGUGGCUUAGCUUAUUCCUAUGGGAAGAACUAAGUUCCGGAAGAAUUUAGGCUCAUGGCACCAUAGGCCAUUUAUAAUCCGGAAGAUUUGAAUGGUAUAAAGGUUGUGUAAUUUAGCUUUGCUUUGGAAGAGAUUGUUAAAUUGCAUGACUAGUUGGUUUCUUGGUAGCUUCAUCAAAGCACUAAGGGGG